CAGUCGCCACGGGAAUACGAAGGGGGCUAGCGUUGCUCGGAAUUACUGGGCGUAAAGGGAGCGUAGGCGGACUGUUUAGUCAGAGGUGAAAGCCCAGGGCUCAACCUUGGAAUUGCCUUUGAUACUGGCAGUCUUGAGUACGGAAGAGGUAUGUGGAACUCCGAGUGUAGAGGUGAAAUUCGUAGAUAUUCGGAAGAACACCAGUGGCGAAGGCGACAUACUGGUCCGUUACUGACGCUGAGGCUCGAAAGCGUGGGGAGCAAACAGGAUUAGAUACCCGCGUAGUCCCUGUCUCUUAUAA
rnacentral:rRNA from 1 species